rnacentral:rRNA from 1 species
UACGUAGGGAGCAAGCGUUGUCCGGAAUCAUUGGGCGUAAAGAGCGCGUAGGUGGCUUUAUAAGUCCGUUGUGAAAGUCAAAGGCUCAACCUUUGAAAGCCGAUGGAUACUGUGAAGCUAGAGUACGGAAGAGGCGAGUGGAAUUCCUGGUGGAGCGGUGAAAUGCGCAGAGAUCAGGAGGAACACCCGUAGCGAAGGCGGCACUCUGGGCCGAUACUGACGCUGAGGAGCGAAAGCGUGGGGAGCGAACAGG